UACGUAGGUGGCAAGCGUUGUCCGGAUUUACUGGGCGUAAAGAGCGCGCAGGCGGUCGUUCAAGUCGCGUGUGAAAGCCCCCGGCUCAACUGGGGAGGGUCACGCGAUACUGAUCGACUCGAAGGCAGGAGAGGGUAGUGGAAUUCCCGGUGUAGUGGUGGAAUGCGUAGAUAUCCGGAGGAACACCAGUGGCGAAGGCGGCCACCUGGGCUGUACCUGACGCUCAAACACGAAAGCUAGGGGAGCGAACGGG
rnacentral:rRNA from 1 species